CAGCCGCCGCGGUAAUACCGGCGGCCCGAGUGGCGGUCACUAUUAUUGGGCUUAAAACGUCCGUAGCCGGGUUGGGAAGUCCUCCGGGAAAUCUGGCCGCUUAACGGUCAGAAUGCCGGAGGAUACUCCCAGCCUAGGGACCGGGGGAGGCCGAGGGGAUUCCCGGAGUAGGGGUGAAAUCCUAUAAUCCCGGGAGGACCACCUGUGGCGAAGGCGCUCGGCGGGAACGCGUCCGACGGUGAGGGACGAAGGCCAGGGGAGCAAACCGGAUUAGAUACCCGGGUAGUCCUGGCUGUAAACGAUGCGGACUUUGUGUCGGACAAGCUAUGAGCUUGUCCGGUGCCGGAGGGAAACCGUUAAGUCCGCCGCCUGGGGAGUACGGCCGCAAGGCUGAAACUUAAAGGAAUUGGCGGG
rnacentral:rRNA from 1 species